UACGUAGGGUGCGAGCGUUAAUCGGAAUUACUGGGCGUAAAGCGUGCGCAGGCGGUUUUGUAAGCCAGAUGUGAAAUCCCCGGGCUUAACCUGGGAAUGGCAUUUGGGACUGCAAGGCUUGAGUGCGGCAGAGGAGACUGGAAUUCCCGGUGUAGCAGUGAAAUGCGUAGAUAUCGGGAGGAAUACCGAUGGCGAAAGCGACUCUCUGGACGGUUACUGACGCUGAGGCACGAAAGCGUGGGGAGCAAACAGG
rnacentral:rRNA from 1 species